CUGAGGUCGUGCUGGUGGGCGUUGCGAGCACAUCCCGGAUACGGACUGGAGCAGCAGGAGUCAGGUGGCCACUCCAUCUCUGUCAUCUCCAGCCAAUCAGUGAAGUAGAUCACGCCGCAGCAUUUAAACUGUCCACAGGCUACCCCUCAGCUGAGAUUAUCUUCCUGUCAGCCAGGUGUGUCAGCUCCCUGAUAAGAAGCCAUUACAACAGCUACAACCCCCUGCAGGUGGGCAGCGAUGAAGCACAGGGUCGCGGAGGGGCUGGAGCCUUGGAAUUGCUGGACUUUGCUGAGACAACUGAACUGACGUCAAGACAGCUUCACGUGCGUGAACAGGAUUAAGGCUGUCUGUGAUGUGAGUGCACUUCCUGUCUCUGCUGGCCUCCCAUCAUCUCCUUUGGGAGUCCAUUCAGCAGACUGAAGCCGCUCUCUGUGUCCCAGCAUCUCGUCUUUCAGAGACAGACUGAAGGGACAAUCUUAUCUCCUCUGAGGACAAUAAAGACACCUGAUAGCUGGCUCCGCCCACUCAGAUGACAAGAGAUGGAUGAUCUGGACCACAGACCAGACUGUGUCACUCUGCUGAACUUCUUCACUCCAGUGUGACACAAGAACCCAGGUUACAUCAGUAACCACAGAGCAAGUUUACCUGCACUGCAGUAAAAAGUAGUCAGAUUACUCGUCUUCGCCCACCUCGUGUUGGACACAAUGUCAAUCAAACACUACAGUCAGGUUCAAGCUGGUAAAUCCACCUGAUCUGGCACACUUUGUGUUCACACUGAGCUCACGGUGAAGACCUACCCAGGACAGCAGCAGCAGGUUGCACCUGAGCGUGCCGCAGUAUCCCACCAUGGCCACGAUGACGAGGAAGCAGCACACAGCGAUGAUGACGGGAUGAACAGCUGGAGAAUACGUGAGGAUGGCUGCUUCCUCCAACCUGCAUGCACACACAUGCGUCCACACACACACACACAUCCACACACACAC